rnacentral:lncRNA from 1 species
GGGGUACAGAGGUGUUGUAUGUGGGGUUUUGGGGGGCUCCAAAUCCAUACCCAUCGUGCCAAAUCCUGUCACCAUCGUGCCUAAUCCUGUUCCCAUCGUGCCAAACUCCGUCCCCAUCGUGCCAAACUGUCCCCAUCGUGCCAAGUCCUGUCCCCAUCGUGCCUAACUUUGUCCCCAUCGUGCCAAAUCCUGUCAUCAUCGUGCCAAAUCCUGUCACCAUAGUGCCAACUUUGUCCCUAUCGUGCCAAAUUCUGUCACCAUCGUGCCAAAUCCUGUCACCAUCGUGCCUAACUUUGUCCCCAUCGUGCCAAACUCCGUCCCCAUCGUGCCAAAUCCUGUCCCCAUCGUGCCAAAUCCUGUCACCAUAGUGCCAACUUUGUCCCCAUCGUGCCAAAUCCUGUCCCCAUCGUGCCAAAUCCUGUCACCAUAGUGCCAAACUGUCCCCAUCGUGCCAAAUCCUGUCCCCAUCGUGCCAAACUGUCCCCAUCGUGCCAAUCCUUCUGUCCCCAUCCAGCCCGUAACAGCCACGGGCUCACCUGAGAGGGGCGGGGACCUGCCCUAUUCUGCUCCAUAUUAAUGAGCCCUUCCUCCUCCUCCUCCUCCUCCUCCUCCUCCUCCUCCUCCUCUUUCCCCUGCCGGUGUCCCGGAGCGCUGCCCGGUGCCAGCCGCGCUCGGUGCCAGCCCGGCUCGCCAUGGCCCGUGUCCCCCUGGCCCGUGUCACCCUCGUGUCGCAGCUCUGGCUCCUGCUCCAAACCUCCUGCCUCUGCCUGGCCCAGCUCCGAGGGCCACCAGGAGAACCUGGCCCACGAGGGCCCCCCGGUCCCCCAGGAGUGCCAGGAGCCGAUGGCAUCGACGGUGACAAAGGCCCUGUAGGAUCUGCCGGCUCCCCGGUGAGUCCCCACCCUGUCCCUCAGCCUGGCGGUGAUCCCGCGCCUUCCCCGGGGCCUGGUUCCAGCCUGAUCCCAAUUUUUCAUUUUUCCAGGGUGUCAAGGGCGAGCCUGGAGCUCCUGGUCCGGAUGGAGCCCCAGGGAAGCCGGGCAUUGAUGGCCUGACGGGAGCCAAAGGGGAGCCAGGACCCAUUGGCAGGCCAGGAGUCAAAGGCCAGCCCGGACUCCCAGGGCCACCAGGGCUCCCUGUGAGUAUCUGCUCUCCCACGGGUGGGGUGGGCACCCCCCAAGUCCCCCCUGCUCCAUCCUUGCU